rnacentral:rRNA from 1 species
AACCAACAGGGAUUGCCCCAGUAACGGCGAGUGAAGCGGCAACAGCUCAAAUUUGAAAUCUGGCCCCCAGGGUCCGAGUUGUAAUUUGCAGAGGAUGCUUUUGGCGAGGUGCCUUCCGAGUUCCCUGGAACGGGACGCCAUAGAGGGUGAGAGCCCCGUCUGGUUGGACACCGAGCCUCUGUAAAGCUCCUUCGACGAGUCGAGUAGUUUGGGAAUGCUGCUCUAAAUGGGAGGUAUAUGUCUUCUAAAGCUAAAUAUUGGCCAGAGACCGAUAGCGCACAAGUAGAGUGAUCGAAAGAUGAAAAGCACUUUGAAAAGAGGGUUAAAUAGUACGUGAAAUUGUUGAAAGGGAAGCGCUCAUGACCAGACUUGGGCCCGGUGAAUCAUCCAGCGUUCUCGCUGGUGCACUUUGCCGGGCUCAGGCCAGCAUCAGUUUGCCUUGGGGGAUAAAGGCUCUGGGAAUGUGGCUCCUCCGGGAGUGUUAUAGCCCACCGCACAAUACCCUGGGGCGGACUGAGGUUCGCGCAUUUAUGCAAGGAUGCUGGCGUAAUGGUCAUCAGCGACCCGUCUUGAAACACGGACCAAGGAGUCGUCUUCGUAUGCGAGUGUUCGGGUGUCAAACCCCUACGCGUAAUGAAAGUGAACGCAGGUGAGAGCUUCGGCGCAUCAUCGACCGAUCCUGAUGUUCUCGGAUGGAUUUGAGUAAGAGCAUACGGGGCCGGACCCGAAAGAAGGUGAACUAUGCCUGUAUAGGGUGAAGCCAGAGGAAACUCUGGUGGAGGCUCGCAGCGGUUCUGACGUGCAAAUCGAUCGUCAAAUAUGGGCAUGGGGGCGAAAGACUAAUCGAAC